rnacentral:rRNA from 1 species
GACGGGGGUUGCAAGCAUUAUCCGGAAUAACUGGGCGUAAAGCGUCUGUAGGUGGUGAUGCAAGUCACUGGUGCAAAACUCUGGCUCAACCGGAGGAAAGCCAGUGAAACUGCAUGACUAGAGUGUGGGAGAGGUAGAAGGAAUUCCAUGAGUAGCGGUGAAAUGCGUAGAUACAGGGAAGAACACCGGAGGCGAAAGCGUUCUACUGGAACACAACUGACACUGAGAGAAGAAAGCUAGGGGAGCGAAUGGG